rnacentral:other from 1 species
GAAUGUUACAGUAGUAACAGUUAUUUUUGUUCGGUACAUGACUUCUUCGCAGUGGUUUGCGUCUUGAAUGAUAUUUGAGCAGGAAUAGUAAUAAAUCGUGGGUUUUAUCCACACAGGAGGAACAUCUAUGCUACAAGGUAAAGUUAAAUGGUUCAACGCAGAAAAAGGUUUCGGCUUCAUCGAAGUUGAAGGCCAAGACGAUGUAUUCGUACACUUUUCUGCUAUUCAAGGCGACGGUUUCAAAUCACUUGAAGAAGGUCAAGAUGUAACGUUUGAAAUCACUGAAGGUGCUCGCGGACCUCAAGCUGCUAACGUUCAAAAGUAAGGAAUACAUGAAAGGCUCCUGAAUUAUCAGGAGCCUUUUUU